rfam:Haemonchus contortus, ISE/inbred ISE, WGS project CAVP01000000 data, contig: Hcontortus_13132
GGCCCAAAUUUGAAGUAGAGAAGAUUAGUGGUAUCGGCUGACCCUACUAAACUAGUUUACUUCAAGUUUGUGCCC